rnacentral:sRNA from 1 species
AAAAAAAGAGAGAAGAGAAGUAGAAAAGAAUAGAAC